CAGCAGCAGGUCCUCUGUUCUGGCGAUCCGCGAGAGCGUUGCCGAGGAUUGCUAUGGCAAACCGCGGCAAUGCUCUCGCGGAUCGCCAGAACAGAGGACCUGCUGCUG